AGAGUUUGAUCCUGGCUCAGAAUCAACGCUGGCGGCGUGCCUAACACAUGCAAGUCGCNNGAGAAAGGGGAGCAAUCCCUGAGUAAAGUGGCGCACGGGUGAGUAACACGUGAAUCAUCUACCUCCGAAUGGGGAAUAACCUAGAGAAAUCUGGGCUAAUACCGCAUAACACUUACGAGUCAAAGCAGCAAUGCGCUUGGAGAGGAGUUCGCGGCCGAUUAGCUAGUUGGCGGGGUAAUGGCCCACCAAGGCGAUGAUCGGUAUCCGGCCUGAGAGGGCGCACGGACACACUGGAACUGAAACACGGUCCAGACUCCUACGGGAGGCAGCAGUGGGGAAUUUUGCGCAAUGGGGGAAACCCUGACGCAGCAACGCCGCGUGGAGGAUGAAAUAUCUUGGUAUGUAAACUCCUUUCGAUGGGGAAGAUUAUGACGGUACCCAUAGAAGAAGCCCCGGCUAACUUCGUGCCAGCAGCCGCGGUAAUACGAGGGGGGCAAGCGUUGUUCGGAUUUAUUGGGCGUAAAGGGUGCGUAGGCGGUUUGGCAAGUCUUAUGUGAAAUCUUCGGGCUCAACCCGAAGCCUGCAUAAGAAACUGCCGGGCUUGAGUGUGGGAGAGGUGAGUGGAAUUUCCGGUGUAGCGGUGAAAUGCGUAGAUAUCGGAAGGAACACCUGUGGCGAAAGCGGCUCACUGGACCAUAACUGACGCUGAUGCACGAAAGCUAGGGGAGCAAACAGGAUUAGAUACCCCAGUAGUCC
rnacentral:rRNA from 1 species